ensembl:lncRNA
GCUUUAUCCAUCCAUGGAGUACCUCCAUUCAAACUUUUUAUUAUUAUUAUUUGUUUUGUUUGUUAUUUACUUAUUUAUUUUGUUUAUUUAUGUAUUAUUGUUCGUUUUAUUUGUCUUGAGACAGAUUCUGGCUACAUAGCCCUGGCUGUCCUGAAACUCACUAUAUAGACCAGAUGGAGGACCAACAAACAGAACGCUCUCCUAUCGAUGGGCACUUCAGCAAAGCUCCCAGACGCCUGACAGAGGCCAGGCCGCGAGGCCAUGCGGAGCUCUCGGGACGCCAGGCCCGGGCGGGUCAGGGAGGAGAGGCGGAGAGGCUCUUCUAGGCAAGCAUGAUACUCGGACUCCGGAACAAAGCGCCGGCCCAGGAAGACCAGGCGGCCGGGCGACGCACACUCAC